rnacentral:rRNA from 1 species
GACGAACGCUGGCGGCGUGCUUAACACAUGCAAGUCGAACGGAAAGGCCCUGCUUUUGUGGGGUGCUCGAGUGGCGAACGGGUGAGUAACACGUGAGUAACCUGCCCUUGACUUUGGGAUAACUUCAGGAAACUGGGGCUAAUACCGGAUAGGAGCUCCCGCUGCAUGGUGGGGGUUGGAAAGUUUCGGCGGGUGGGGAUGGACUCGCGGCUUAUCAGCUUGUUGGUGGGGUAGUGGCUUACCAAGGCUUUGACGGGUAGCCGGCCUGGGAGGGUGACCGGCCACAUUGGGACUGAGAUACGGACCAGACGCCUACGGGAGGCAACAGUGGGGAAUAUUGCACAGUGGGCGGAAGCCUGAGGCGGCAACGCCGCGUGCGGGAUGACGGCCUUUGGGUUGUAAACCGCUUUCGCCUGUGACGAAGCGGGAGUGACGGUAAUGGGUAAAGAAGCACCGGCUAACUACGUG